ensembl:lncRNA
UGAACAUCAGGAAGCUCAUUCUCAAGCAGGUCAGACUUUUUAAAACUUUGAGAAAAUGUAAAAAAAAAUCAGUCCUGAUAAAUCGGUCUCGGGACUGAAAAUUUUUCACUUUCAUUUGUGGGCGCAGAAUUAGGUCCGGCAUUUCAUUUUUCUUUGUCAAUAAAGAUCAUUGUCUUGCUUAUUGGCAAGCCACGAGGAGUGAAUUUGUCAUAACCGCAAACAUGCACUUCAACGACACACAUGUACACACCCACGUACACACGAGCUCGUGCGCACAUACAGUUCUCAUAUUCUUGAGGACAGCUGCAGGGGUGUGGAAGCCUUGGGAAAAUGGAUUGUGGAAUCAAGCCAAUCAACUUCCUCUGUAGCCAGCACCUGUUUGUCUGUAUCUGCUGCUGUUAUUUCACAAUACAGGGCGAUUAUAGAAAUGCACAGAGAUUAAUACGCAGAUUCUGUAAGCAAAGACUAUAGAUUACUGUCAUAAACACUUUUUUUUCCAAGUGAAGUCACACCGUACAGUAAGUAGGUAUGAUUUUGUGCUUGCAUGUUUGUCACUCGGAUUUAUUCAACAGAGAUUAUGCAAAUUUGAGUCUAUUACACAUCCUGGCCUAAUUCACUAAACCCCGUUCUAAUUAAGACACACAUCCACUAUAAAAAAAAAAAAACAACAACACGCGCUGCUACACAGACACACACACUACAAUAAUAAUGUGUUACCUUGAAAUAUUCCCUGGACCAAAAAGAGAGAUGAAGAGAUGCUGAGAUGAUGACAGUUAAUACGCCUUGAUGUUUUUGUCACUUCGACAACAGAAAUCUGUGUGUGCGUGCAUGUGUGUGCGCACAUGUGUCAGUGUGUGUCAUCAGAGAGGCUGUGCACGUGUGUGCAUGAGCUGAGGGGGGGGUAGACGAUCUUCUCUGAAGCAGCCCAGGCAGGCAUCAGCACUCAAUCAUCCCAGAUCUGCCAGACGACACCAGCAGAGAAAACACAUUACCCGUGUCGUGUCGCCUCGUCUUCUUCUGUUGUCUUCUCUUUAUUAUAUUUAGGGCUGCUUUGCCUCAGGGUCAGGUGACAAUCUGCAUUCUCUUUCUGCAAGUUUUCUCAAAACUGUCUGGAGUUUUUAUAUUUAUUUAUUUAUUUAUUUUUUUGCAUUUUUUCAACCAUUUUUUUUCUGCUGCUCUGUUAAAGGGGAUCUGUUGAUGGUUUUUAAUCCCUACAUGAGUCCCUUUGCAGAUGACUCUGCUGGCAUGGUGUCAGAAAGAAACUAACAGAGAGCAGCGCUACGCAUUAGACAAAAGAUGAAUACCCUCAGAAGGGAGGGAGGGAAUAGAGGGAAGAGGCAAAGAGCCCAUUUGAAGUGCUUGUCUAAGUUUUAGUAAAAAAUGAGUUCUUUAUAACGUAUAUAAAUAUAUAAAUGCAACACUUAAAGACAUUAUCAGGCACUUUCAUUCCCCCUGCCUUUUGUGUGCUGGUUGAGGUGGGAAACAGAAGGGAAGUAAACACAUCUGCAUAUCUGAGUCAUUGGUUCCAAGGGAGCUGUUAUGGGCUGUCUCUGCAAAUCUCUUCUCUGCGUUGCUUAUAGCCCACCAGCAACAAAGUCUCCCCCCCACACCGCUGAUGCCGGGUCAGAUAAUUCAACGCGCUUUUAACUGAUGUGGUUAGAUCUGAGGGUGGCAAAUCUGAUUUCAGAUCUCCUGAUUUCAAGUGGCUCCGCACCUUUUUUAGGUUAUCUUUUCUCAGAUUGGAAAACAUGUGCCCACGGUCUAAAGCAGAGAAAGGCGGCAUAUGUGUCGCUGCCGUUUAGUGUCCAGUUGACGGUAAGUUGGCACAGUUGGUGUAACAGAGUGGGCCAAGACCGGUCAGGCCCUCUGUCUGCACGGUAGCCAUCACCU